CAAAUUUUCAUAUAUGUAUAUGCACAUUAAACAUAGUAUGAAAAAAGUUCUGAAUCUAGUUUUCAACCAGCAAAUUAUCUUCGUAAAUACUGUGAAUUUGUAAUAAUUUAGAAAUAAAAGGGUUGGAUAACAACGUCCAAUCUCGCGACCGAGUUGUAUAACCGUAAUCGUAAUGCAGUUGCAACGUUUUCACGGGCAGAUAAUAAUCUUAGUGGAACCAGCGCGAACUCGAUAGCCGAUACACGAGGUGGUGCAUAUUUCUCCGCGUUCGUAGAAUUGAGCCGUGUGCGGGACCGCAAUCUGGAGUAAACGGUUCGAUACCAAUGAAAGCCUCGAAAAGGACUACGAGGACGUGGCUACAGGCACGAGAUGGCCAACACUCUCGAGACAGCUUUCAAAAACUUCCGUCGUUGAGAGAGUCGUCGCGGGAGGACGACUAGAAGAAAACUAACUAUGGCAAACGAAACAGCGUUACAAAAUCUUCGAUGGAGAGCAGCUAACGGAAUCGCCGAAUUGCGUGUUCCCCUGCGGGCGGCUGUCGUGAUCCAAUCGCGGUGUACCAAUGCACAAAUCACAAGCACAGUCCCCGUCACGACCAGAAACGAUCACAUCACACGCGAGAUCACGUUCCACGCUGGGAUCGAUCGAUCGUCGAUCAUCGACGACGCUGGCGGAUAUCAACGAGUACGCGAUCGACGAAGGUUUUAGGUAUUCGUCGUUGGCGAAAAUUGUUGCGAAUGGCUGGUGGAAUUAGAACGAUGACGAUGAUGGCGCACUUGAAUACGUACCGUCGCGACGGUGUGCAUUGUGUUCCAGGUGGUGAGUUGUGUUAG